rnacentral:rRNA from 1 species
UGGGGAAUUUUCCGCAAUGGGCGAAAGCCUGACGGAGCAAUGCCGCGUGGAGGUGGAAGGCCUACGGGUCGUCAACUUCUUUUCUCAGAGAAGAGACAAUGACAGUAUCUUAGGAAUAAGCAUCGGCUAACUCUGUGCCG